GGGAAGAGUCUGAGACCCCGGAGCCAGCGUCCCGGCCCGCGGGCAGUCUCUCCCCGUCCACCACCCGCCCCAUGUGUCAGGCUGUUCCCUCCGAUGGUCACCACCGCUUCCCCUGGUGGCCCUGUCCCGCGGAGCGGCUGGGCCCGGACCGCCCUGGCGCGCGCGGCCACCAGGGGGCGCUCGGGGUCUGAGUCGCUGCUGACCUGGGCGCUCAGUCCUUAAGGUUUUCAUCCGGAGCUGCUUGGGAACCAGGUUCUCCUCUGAGGACAGGGACACAAGUGGGCCAGGCAGACAGAACCGCAGCUCUGUGACCCAGGAGUGGCGAGGGGACGAUUUCAAGUCACCAUGUGGUAGCGCACUCCUGUCACCAGGGCACUUUGGGAGGCUGAGACAGGAGGAUCCCAAGUUCAAACCCAGCCUGGGCUACUUAGGGAGAAUCAGUCUCAAAAUUUUAAAAGUUUAAAAAGGGCUGGCGAUGUAGCUCAGUAGGAUAGGCCCUAGGUUCAGUCCCAGCAUUGAGAAAAAAUGUACAAACAGCAAAAAAGAAAGCGAGCCCUUCCUUUAGCCACCCCUGGCAUGCAGCCGGGGGACUUGGUGCUCGGGGGGACCCUGGGGCACUCACCACACACCAGACCCAGCACAGGGGCGCGGAUGCACAGUGCCACGCGGACAGCGCUGGACACGGAUGCUGCCCACAGACGCAGGCACAGCGUGUCCCGGCCCCAUGCCCCGCCCCUUAGCCACCCAGUCCUGGUCCUGCAACGUGUGGCCUGCUCUGCCCCCAACUUGGGGCGUGGACAGUGAUUCCCUAAUUGCCAGCAAAGGGUUCCUGUCCUCAGCGCCUCCCUAGGCCUGGUGCCACCCAUCCCCUGCCCGUGCCCAUGCCCGCCCAGUGCCAAGGCCACAGGGAGGGACAGGAGGGGACAGAGGCAGAGCCAGACUUUCCUAGGAAGUCUGAGAGGGUUGUGCACAGCUAGGGGCAUCAGAGCUGGGUUUUGUAGGAUGACCAGGAGUUCACUGUGAAGCUAGGGGUGAGGCUGCUGCAGAUAGAAGGCCAUUGUGGGCAGCUUCCUCUCAGGCUGCU
rnacentral:lncRNA from 1 species